AACGAACGCUGGCGGCGUGGAUAAGACAUGCAAGUCGAGCGCUGAUUACGGGGUAGCAAUAUUCCGUGGUCGGAGCGGCGCAAGGGUGCGUAACACGUGGGUAAUCUGCCAUGAAGUUUGGAAUAACUCGCUGAAAGGCGAGCUAAUGCCGGAUGUGAAAGCUGGGAGGCAUCUCCCGGUUUUCAAAGCUGGGGACCGUAAGGCCUGGCGCUUCAUGAUGAGCCCGCGGCCUAUCAGCUAGUUGGUAAGGUAACGGCUUACCAAGGCUAAGACGGGUAGCUGGUCUGAGAGGACGACCAGCCACACUGGAACUGAGACACGGUCCAGACACCUACGGGUGGCUG
rnacentral:rRNA from 1 species